rnacentral:rRNA from 1 species
AUGGACUUAGAAGAUUUUAAUACUGCUUGUAAACUCCCGCAAUGGGGUAGUGCUAGUGAUCCUCGUAAAUCUGAGUUUAAGGAUUUUCUUACUAGUAUCACUGUGGGGGAAUCUAGAGAAAUAACACAAGCUACCAUAGGGAGCAUUCACUUUCCUGCUAUACAUUAUUUUGCUCUCUUUAUAGGUAGAUGCAUUAACGGCAAGGACGAGGCAUGUCACAUGUGUGUUCCCGAUCUUAGUGUUCUCAAGAGUGCUGUAUUAGGAGAUAAACAAUAUAACUUGGGGGCCAUUGUUGCACGAAGGUUGCAUCUUAAUAGUUUAAGUGGAGACUUGUUUGGUGGAAUUUAUGCAACCCGUUUAGCCAAUAUCUUGAGAUACCCAUACAUGAAAAUGAUAUGGAAUUGCCUCCUGCUUAUUUAG